AAGAAGGUAACACUUGGAUGGGGGCAGGGAGACAUGGGAGAGAUGGUAAGAGUUCCUGGCAAAGGCUUCCUAAAGGUGGUGAUGGGAAGGGGAGAUGAGGGGCCGACAAAAGUUCAGGCCG